GGGGACCGGGAGGGAGACCGGGAGGGGGGUAGCUGGAUCCCCGGUCCCCCCUUGGGGGGGGGGCUUGUGUGUAAAUGUGUAAAUAGAAGGAAAACUGAAGAGGCCCCCCAGGGAGAUUCUUCAGGUUGAUUUGUUUAACGGACAAAUGUGGUGAAAUGAAAUGGGCAAUUAUGUCUCUAUUUUUAACACUUUCUUCCUUUCUUUUUAACAAACAAUCAGUUGUUUUUUUUAAAGGACAUGUGAAUGUUUUUUCUAAUGAGAAAAAGCCUCCAUCUUGUAUUAAUUUACUUUUACUGUGCAUAUAAAGUACAUGGGCGCUUCAUAGCUCACCGGUGUGCGACCCUGAAUGAUGUGUAAAUACAUAAUGUUUAACCAAAGCUGUUGUCUCUCAGGGCCAGAUAUAUCUAUUUUUGUACUUUCUAGGAUGUUUUUGAGUGGGCAUUAUGGGUUAAAUGGUUCAUAAGUUGUUUGGCAGAAUGCUUUGGAGGGUGAUGUUGAGUCAAUAUAUCAGAAGGCCUCUACAGAACAGAUCAGUUUUAAAUGAUUUCAUCAUCACAGCACACACUAACAACCACCCAGGCUGGAUAUGGAGCUCUGGGCAAGUUUAUUCAGAUCAUUGAGACUUCAAUCACAAACAUCACGGGAUUCCCUCGGGUGAGAGUAGAGACGGAGUAGAGAUGGAUGCAAUAUAUAGUUCAGCCAAUGACACUUACGGUUGCCCGCUUGCCCGGGGCAAGUAAAAAAAAUGUUUGGGCAAGUUGAGAUUUUUUCUGGUUGCCCGAACGGGCAAGUGGAUUUUGGGUGGAUGUUAAUAUAAAGGCUAUUUAUUCAAAUGUUUUUAGAAACUGCAGAACAACCUUUUGUUCCGCAAAAUCACACAAAAUAGAAGUAUGUCAGCGCGCUGUCUUCUCUUCUCUCGGAAAGCGAGUUAACAGACACUCAUCGCUUCAGUGCGAAUAUAGCCCUGCCUUCUGUCAAUCACUCGCAGUGCGGUCUCUGGCAGUGAUUCGUAGGGGAACACUGUUGUUUUUCUUUGGUCGUCAUGAAAAAACCCAUAAGGGGUAACACUGUCGUUUUUUAUUGGUCGUCAUGAAAAAAAACAUAAGGGGUAACACUGUUGUUUUUUAUUGGUCGUCAUGAAAAAAAACAUAAGGGGUAACACUGUUGUUUUUUAUUGGUCGUCAUGAAAAAUAACAUAAGGGGUAACACUGUUGUUUUUUAUUGGUCGUCAUGAAAAAAAACAUAAGGGGAAACACUGUUGUUUUUUAUUGGUCGUCAUGAAAAAAAACAUAAGGGGUAACACUGUUGUUUUUUAUUGGUCGUCAUGAAAAAAACCAUAAGGGGUAACAGUGUUGUUUUUUAUUGGUCGUCAUGAAAAAAAACAUAAGGGGUAACAGUGUUGUUUUUUAUUGGUCGUCAUGAAAAAAAACAUAAGGGGUAACACUGUUGUUUUUUAUUGGUCGUCAUGAAAAAAAACAUAAGGGGUAACACUGUUGUUUUUUAUUGGUCGUCAUGAAAAAAAACAUAAGGGGUAACACCGUUGUUUUUUAUUGGUCGUCAUGAAAAAAACCAUAAGGGGUAACACUGUUGUUUUUUAUUGGUCGUCAUGAAAAUAAACAUAAGGGGUAACACUGUUGUUUUUUAUUGGUCGUUAUGAAAAUAAACAUAAGGGGUAACACUGUUGUUUUUUAUUGGUCGUCAAUGAAAAAAACAUAAGGGGUGACACUGUCGUUUUUCUUUCGUCGUCAUGAAAAAAAACCAUAAGGGGUAACACUGUUGUUUUUUAUUGGUCGUCAUGAAAAAAAACAUAAGGGGUAACAAUGUUGUUUUUUAUUGGUCGUCAUGAAAAAAAACAUAAGGGGUAACACUGUUAUUUUUUAUUGGUCGUCAUGAAAAAAAACAUAAGGGGGUAACACUGUUGUUUUUUAUUGGUCGUCAUGAAAAAAAAACAUAAGGGUAACACUGUUGUCUUUGUCAAAUAAAAUAUAAGAGGUAACACUGUCGUUUUUUAUUGGUUGUCAUGAAAAAAACCAUAAGGGAAAUAAUAUAAAUACACAAAUACAUUUUAAUGUCAUGUAUAUCCUCUUUAUUGAUGAUUGAUUAUUGUGUAUUUUCAUCGCCUCAGUGGUGCAGUGGAGUGCACUCUGCCUAACCCACUGGAGACCAUGGCUCAAUAUCUGUGGAAAACACAAUAUCUUUAAUUUUAAACGUAAUGCUAUCAUGUCUAUUGCAUAUAUAACCUCAGACAUAAUUAACAUAAAAAUCUCAGUGGGAAGGGGAGAGAGCUGUGAGCUAACCCCCUGGAGACCGGGGUUCAAGUCCGGUUGAUGUCUUCUGUUGGAAGACUCUUAUCACUAUUUCAUGUUAAUUAUUAAGUCAAGUAUAACCUUUGUGAUGACUUUAUCCGGUGUCUUGAUGGUGCAUUGUUAAGUUCGGAGGUUUACACUCUAAACAGCUCAUGUUCGGAUCCCCGCAUAAAUGUCGACAGGGCUGCCACUGUUGUUAUUUAAUGGUCAACAUGGAAAAAACAUGAGGGGAAACUGUCGUUUUAUAUCGGCCGUCAUGAAAUAAAUAUAAGGGCUAACACUGUCGAUACUUAGCAAAUAAAACAUAGGGGGUGACACUGUCGUUUUUUAUCGGUCGUCAUGAAAAAAACAUGAGGGGUAACACUGUCGAUAUUUAUCAAUUAAAACAUAAGGGGUAACACUGUCGUUUUUAUCAAAUGAAACAUGAGGGGUGAUACUGUCGUUUUUCUUUCGUCGUCAUGAAAAAAAACAUAAGGGGUAACACUGUUGUUUUUUAUUGGUCGUCAUAAAAAAAACAUAAGGGGGGUAACAAUGUUGUUUUUUAUUGGUCGUCACGAAAAAAAGAAUAAGGGGUAACACUGUUGUCUUUGUCAAAUAAAAUAUAAGGGGUAACACUGUCGUAUUUUAUUGGUCAUCAUGAAAAAAAACAUAUAAAAAAAAUAAAAUAAAUUGUCCUUGUCAAAUAAAAUAUUUUCAUCAGUCAUCACGGCAAAAAAACAUAAGGGGUAACACUGUCGUUUUUUAUCAAAUGAAACGUAAAGGGUAACACUGACAUCGUUUUUUAUCUGUCAUCAUGAAAAACCCAUAAUGGGUAACACUGUCGAAAUGUAUCGAAUAAAAACAUAUGGGGAAUGGUAAUUAAACAGCCUCCACUUAUUCCAACAGUCCAAACCAUAUCAUUCUGUGACAAAAACUCGCAAAUAACAACUUAAGAAGAAACGUCCCCUUUUCUUUUAACAACCAAAAAUGAAGUAUUACCUUUGUGAUUUUUGUCCACAAAGUUGAUUCUGAUCGAAUAAAACCACCAUAAACAGAUUAUCCAGUGUCUGGGCCAAAUUUUGCAACUAAACAUGGUGUUUUCAAUCAAUGAAUAAGAGAAGGUUUCGUAGGGAAUAGGUAAAUUGCCUUCAAUCAGAAAACAUAUUCUUCAGCGCAAUCUAUUGCCAUAUAUUUAUUUGCGAGUGUUUGGCUUGGAUUGGUGCAUUCGAUUAUAUUUGCCCUGAACUUUAGAUAGUGUCAAGUGUCAAAAUUGUAAGAUAUCUACCUUUAUUUGUGUCUCAUAGUAAGACAGCGCUCCCAACUGAUAACGACCAACUGAUAAUUAUUUCAGGUGGAAAUGUUAUAUUCCACUUAUGCUGUGUUCCAUGGCUUUAUUCACUCUAACCAAGUAUUAUCCCCAUUGAAUAUUUCACUUGCACAACAAUCUUUCUUUUGGCACAAAGAUGACAUUAUCACCCUUGCAGUUGUGGAGAUAUACUCUAUUUACUUUGGGUAUGAUCUUUCCUGAAAAUUUUUUUUCCUCAUAUCAAAAAUGGCAUAGAAUAUCGAUAUUUUUCCAGGUAUAGUGUUGAAGUUAGAAAAUCCAGUAUCGUGACUGACAACACUACUAGAAACGCGAUUUGAUUAGAGCUACAAGAAACUUGAAUGUUAAAAUAGACAUAUCGUUGUUACUACCUCUGACAUUUAGUUAUGUACAUUUGCUUAAAUCAUGCAGGUCUACAUAUAACUUGGCGAUAGCUUUUAUAGGUUGCAAUGGUGGACUGAAAUCACUUCAUGGCACGAUGUGACCGCUCGAUAAAUCAGUAAACAAAGAGAAGUUUGUUAUUUUUGUGUGUGGAAGCUAACAUUCAGCUUCAGUCUGAGCUAGGAUGAUUUUUCUGAGCCCCCCCAAAACCAGGCCGCGUGCCUGGCAAAAAGAGUCCCGUUCACGAUUCUGAUUAUAAUUUGGGCAAGUGAACAUUACAUUCGGGCAAGUUAAACCUGACCUGUACUUGCCCGAUGGGCAAGUGCUUUUGAAGUCUUAGUGUCAACCCUAGUAGUUGGAUUAGAGAGAGUAGAGAUAGUUAGAUUAGAGAUAGAGAUAGAGUAGAUAGAUUAGUAGAUAGAUUAGAGAUAGUUUAGAGAUCGACAUGGUGGAUUCUGCUAUUCCUUCUGGUGAUCUCUGACCUCAGGGCAAACAGAUCACUACUCAUAUACUGUGUAUACUAUAUUCUCAAAUAUGUACUCCAUAUUAAAGCUGAAAUGAUGAAGCCUUUACUUGAUGUUUGACUCUUUAACUUUAUCAGACAACAUUCAGCUUCAGUUAUCU
ensembl:lncRNA